GGGGAGCUCGCUACUGGCCUGCCAGGGACCCCACCCACCGUGGGCUGUGGGGUUCCCGGUGCUGCGCAGGCUGGAAACGAAGCCGGCGGGUCAGGUUCCCGGGAGCAGACGUGCGUUUGUUCUCUGGGAAAGAUUCAAUGAUUUAAAAGAAAGUGCCUGUCUCCAAGGAGCAUGAACAUGAAGUCUAACUGGGCCGGUGAAAGUGCAGAAAAGAACUCUGGAUGCUGGGUCUCAUCCACACAACUGGACAGAGGAGCAACUUGACUUACACCUGACAUUUUGUGUCAUCCCCAUGUGCUGGAGAGAAAAAAUUCAAUGGAGGAGAAGAAGGACACAGGAGCAGGGAGAGAUGCGGAAAUGGAGGCACAGAGAAGUAAACAAAAUUGACUAAGGUCACAUGACUGGAACCUGAGGCAGAAGGACAUAAGCCAGUGUAUCUGCCUGUUGAGCCUACAGUUAAAAAUAAUUAUAGAGAACAUGGUGAUGUUUCAGAAACUGUCAGGUGGUACCUUUUCAAAUCAUAUUUUUUUUACAUUAUUCACUUCUAGUCUGGAGGAAAUACCUAUGGGUAAAAUGGAGAGAAGAGUGAGAAAAGAAAAGCCAAACCUUGUUCACUCAUUUCUUCCAUGGAAUUGAAACAUACCUGACCAUUAUUAUAUGAAAGUAGAUGCAGAUGAAAUUUCAAUAUAUAUAGAUUAACCAAAACUCUUUAUUGGCGAUACUUACACUUUUCCAGAAGGUGUUUGUGUGUACAGUGAUAUUAAUAAACCCGUUUAGUCUUUAGUGCAGCCAUAAAAUAAGAGACAGCAAAGACACCAGCUGUAAGAGUCAGUGCUGUCGCUGUGGUUCAGCUGAAACUAGUGGCUGAGCUUCCUGGCCGCCACUCUUGUUAGUCAGAAAGAAAGAAAUGUAACAAUGGUGUUUACAGGAGGCAAAGUUUAUUUGAAUGAAAUUCACAAAGUCAUUUAUCCCAUAGGGAAUAGUAGCCAGUAUAGAACAGCCCCUGUACUAGUAGUCAGGGUUCUCCAGAGAAACAGAACUGAUAGGGGGGGAUCAAUUUCUCUAGAUCUCUCCUGCUCUCUCAAAGUGUGUGUUAUAAGGAACUGGCUCCCUAACUGUGAUUUUGGAGGCUGACAAGUCCCAAGAUCUGCAGUCAGCAAGCUGGUGGUCCAGGAGAAGCCAGUGGUGUAGCUCUAGCUUGAAGCUGAUAUCUGAGAGCCGGGACACCUGAGGUUGUGAGUUCCAGUGUGAGUUGAAGGCAGGAGAAGACGUAUACAUCCCAGCUUAAGGACAGGCAGAGAGAGAGAGAACUUGCCUUUACUCAGCCUUUUUAUUCUAUUCAGGCUUCCAGUGGAUGGAUGCAGCUCAUCCACACUGGGGAGAGUGAUCUGCUUUACUCAGUCUACUGACUUAAGUAUUAAUAUCAUCUAGGAACUCCCUUACAACAUACUCAGAAUAAACUUUAACUAAAUAUCUGGACACCUUGUGGCCCAGUCAAGUUGACACAUAAAGUUAACCAUCAUAAUACUCUUUUUCAAACAUAAUCUUCAGUUCUCUAAUUCAUGAUGUUAGACUGUAAGAAUCAGGAUGUUGUGUUAGUAUUAAUCUAUAUUACAUUGAGUUCAAUUCUAAAAUUUGCUUAUAAUGAACAGCCAUGAGGGAAAAUGAGACUGUUUUGCUGAAUACGUGUGUCUUGCC